CAGAGGAAAGCCAAAGAUUGAGGCAGGCCUUUGUUAAGGGUCGAAUUGUAAUCUACUCCUUUGA
rnacentral:tRNA from 1 species